rnacentral:hammerhead_ribozyme from 1 species
CUCAUAAGUCUGGGCUUAGCCCACUGAUGAGCCGUUGAGAUACGGCGAAACUUAUGUG